CUGGCCGUAAACGAUGGGUACUAGGUGUAGGAGGUAUCGACCCCUUCUGUGCCGGAGUUAACGCAAUAAGUACCCCGCCUGGGGAGUACGACCGCAAGGUUGAAACUCAAAGGAAUUGAC
rnacentral:rRNA from 1 species